rnacentral:rRNA from 1 species
UACGUAGGGGGCAAGCGUUGUCCGGAUUUAUUGGGCGUAAAGAGCGUGUAGGCGGCCAGAUAGGUCUGUUGUGAAACUCGAGGCUCAACCUCGAGACGCCCGAUGGAAACCAUCUGGCUAGAGUCCGGAAGAGGAGAGUGGAAUUCCUGGUGUAGCGGUGAAAUGCGCAGAUAUCAGGAGGAACACCGGCGGUGUAGACGGCUUCUGGACCGUAGCUGACGCUGAGACACGAAAGCGUGGGUAGCAAACAGG